CGGCAACAGCUCAAAUUUGAAAUCUGGCGCAAGCCCGAGUUGUAAUUUGUAGAGGAUGCUUCUAGGUAGCGACCGGUCUAAGUUCCUUGGAACAGGACGUCAUAGAGGGUGAGAAUCCCGUAUGUGACUGGCCCGCACCUUCUACGUAGCUCCUUCGACGAGUCGAGUUGUUUGGGAAUGCAGCUCUAAAUGGGAGGUAAAUUUCUUCUAAAGCUAAAUACCGGCCAGAGACCGAUAGCGCACAAGUAGAGUGAUCGAAAGAUGAAAAGCACUUUGGAAAGAGAGUUAAAAAGCACGUGAAAUUGUUGAAAGGGAAGCGCUCACAACCAGACUUCUAGGCAGUGUUCCGCCGGUCUUUUGACCGGUCUACUCUCUGUCUCGAGGCCAACAUCAUCUGGGACCGCUGGAUAAGACCUUAGGAAUGUAGCUCCCCUCGGGGAGUGUUAUAGCCUCUGGUGAUGCAGCGAGUCUCGGGUGAGGUCCGCGCUUCGGCAAGGAUGUUGGCGUAAUGGUUGUCAGCGGCCCGUCUUGAAACACGGACCAAGGAGUCUAACAUCUAUGCGAGUGUUCGGGUGUCAAACCCCUACGCGUAAUGAAAGUGAACGGAGGUGGGAAGCGUAAGCUGCACCAUCGACCGAUCCUGAUGUCCUCGGAUGGAUUUGAGUAAGAGCAUAGCUGUUGGGACCCGAAAGAUGGUGAACUAUGCCUGAAUAGGGUGAAGCCAGAGGAAACUCUGGUGGAGGCUCGCAGCGGUUCUGACGUGCAAAUCGAUCGUCAAAU
rnacentral:rRNA from 1 species